rnacentral:lncRNA from 1 species
CAUGUGGAACUGUUUGGCCUGGUGUGGUCCUUCUGAAGCCGGGAGACAUUCAAGAUCAUAACAAUGAGUACUCAUGAAACCUGCAAUCCUGGAGCUCUCUGCAUCGCUUGUAUGCAGCUCAACAGGCCCCAGAGAUCUCCUCACUACAAUGAAGCUGGUAUGAGGCUUCUCCUUCACCAGGUACAGAGUGGGACUGGAGACCGGAAGCAGCGGGGACUCCCGCUAGGAUGUGUGUGGUGGUACUGAGAAGCUGCUCGGUGCUGGCAAUGGCUUCCCUACUGGGUUACCACGAGCUGCACCUUAGCAGAGAUGCGCGUCCCUCAGCGGCCUAUUUGUUUCCUGCUUUGCUUUGAUAAGUGGUAUCUGCGAUGACAGCGAGAGCACACAUAUAUCUAACUUUAAAAAGAUUCGAUUCUGCCCAUUAUGAUUUCCUCGCUGCUGGUAUUUUGAUGAAGAGGGAGACAGACAGUAACGCUUCCCCGAGAAAGAAACGGAUCUCAUCCUACCUCCUGUUGGUCUUCUGUGUCUGUGUUAGCCACUGUCAGCGGAAACCAGAGAAGACUAGGUCUUGCGUUAUGAGAGCCAGAGCCUAGGGCCUGACACAGUUCAUUCUUCAUCGUAGAACCCAGUAGUACAGCAAGGUAUCUUGAGCCCUUUGAGUCCAAAUGCUGUGUCAAAUGCUCGCUCUGCCUCAUACCGCUGGUUGGAAGCUACCGAGAAACCUCCUGCAGCUUUGGUGGUUCCAGAUUAUAAUAUGUCACGGCAAGGAAGUCACAAUCAAGAAGCUUGCAGGAGUUGAUCACGUCACACCCACCAACAAGAAGCAGAGAGCCACAAAUGGAGAGGAGAUCAGGUCCCCUCGAAGAAGGACUCAGCUACAAUACCAAGAGCGAUUUCUUCUGUUCAGGAUCCAAGCUCGUAACUUCAGAUGAACCUGGGAUUGCCUGGAAGACACAGCUGCCUGGACCCCACAGCUGGCAUAUUUAUCCUCUCAUGUAGUCGACUGACAGCCAGGGGAGCCGCACCCUGCUCGCGGUGAGGAGGUAAGUCUGUACUGUGUGGCCUUUCUUUCUGGAGGCUGAGGC